UAGGGAAUAUUAGUAAUGGGCGAAAGCCUGAACUAGCAACGCCGCGUAUGCGAAGAAGGCCUUCGGGUUGUAAAGCACUUUUUGAGAGGAUGAGGAAGGACGGUACUCUCAGAAUAAGUCUCGGCUAACUACGUGCCAGCAGCCGCGGUAACACGUAGGAGGCGAACGUUACCCGGAUUUACUGGGCGUAAAGCGCGUGUAGGUGGUUUGGUAAGUAGGGCGUGAAAGCUCCUGGCUCAACUGGGAGAGGCCGUUCUAAACUGCCGAACUAGAGGAUGGUGGAGGGAGGUGGAAUUCCGGGUGUAGCGGUGGAAUGCGCAGAUAUCCGGAGGAACACCAGUGGCGAAAGCGGCCUCCUGGACCAUUCCUGACACUCAGACGCGAAAGCUAGGGUAGCAAACGG
rnacentral:rRNA from 1 species